UAUAAAGCAGAAACUAACACACCAUAGUAAAGCAAUUAUACUCCAAUAAAGAUGUAAAAAGAAUAAAUAAAUUCCAUUGUUAUUUAUAAAAAAAAAGAAAAGAAAUCACCCCCUAUAGUUUUUGCAUUUCAGAAACAAGGUCACUGGCCAAUAAACCAGAGGCAAACGGACACAAUUAUCAGACUGCCGGACCCCAAUUACCGGGGUGGCCUGACGCCAGCUAUGACUGUUUUGAAAUAAUGCAAAGGAAAGGAAGAAUGCAAGACCUUCGCUACUUUGAUCCUUAUCAUAGACCCCGGACUGCGAGCCUCACAUAUAAAACCUUCCCUGAUUCCCAAGGAGGGGGGGCACAGCUCUGGAGGCGCUAGCCUGCUGUCUUCCCUUCUGCCUGGCAGAAAAAUAAAGCCAUCUCUCUCUUCCUCCAAAAUCCCUGUCUCUGUAUUUCGGUUCGGCCUCGGUGCACAGGGAAGCUGAUGCUUCGGCAACAAAAUGGGGGCUCGUCCGGGGUCUGCUCGCGUACAGGCAGCCCCGCAGGGCCCCUUGGCUUGAUCGGAAGCUCGGGGAUCUCUCUGCACGCCAGGCUCCUUCGGGAGAGCGGAGGGUUGGAGGAUUUCUCUGAGGCCAGAUCGUCAGGGACUCCCUGCCGCAGGGCUGUGCCCCAUCACACCCGGCCUGUCGGCUGCGGCGGAGAACGGGGGAGAGGCUGACCUAGCAGCUGCCGAGGCUCAUUUUGCCUUGAGGACACCUUCUCUUCUCUUGGCCGCGCCGGCCUGGACUUCCACUCCGAGAAAACACUGAAUAUUGGAGGGUCAGAAAGAGGACGUAGGGAAGUCGCGACGCACCCGUCAGCACCUACGAUUGGAAACUCUUAGGUCCCCAGCACCUUUAUCAGAUAAAUUAGGAAGGCUACCUCACUAACAGGUACAGAAAUCUCAAGGUAUUUUCGGAACCUUGAAAAGGGAGGAAUUCACCUAUAUCUGAUCAGAUACCCCACGACCUACAACCAGGGGAUUAUACAUACUGGAAAAGACAUAAUUUAAAGGACUAUCUCCAGACUGGAUGGAAGCACCCUUAUCAGGUACUCUUAACUAGCUCAUACACAGUAAAACUAAAGGGAAUUAACUCUUGGAUUAAUUUCCACUCACAAAGGGCCCCUGCACUGGACUGGCCCAUGGAGAGGAUGGCUGACCUCAAAAUCACCUUAAAACAAUGCUCAAACAGAGGAGAAACUACACUCACGCGAGGAUGAGAAAAAGACAACAUCAGAAGUAGACAGCUUCCCCAAGAUCCUGGACCUGACUC